rnacentral:tRNA from 1 species
GGGGCGGCGGCGCACAGUUGCGCGAUGCGCUCGGUUCGCGUGGCCGCGUCGUUCGCGGCAAUCCAUUCCAGCUGCAAUGGCUGGCCGGCCUGC